UACGUAGGGGGCAAGCGUUGUCCGGAAUUAUUGGGCGUAAAGCGCGCGCAGGCGGUCCUUUAAGUCUGAUGUUAAAGGCCGGAGCUCAACUCCGGUAGGCAUUGGAAACUGGGGGACUUGAGUGCAGAAGAGGAGAGUGGAAUUCCACGUGUAGCGGUGAAAUGCGUAGAGAUGUGGAGGAACACCAGUGGCGAAGGCGACUCUCUGGGCUGUAACUGACACUCAGAUGCGAAAGCGUGGGGAGCAAACAGG
rnacentral:misc_RNA from 1 species